rnacentral:tRNA from 2 species
UGGGCUCAUCGUCUAAUGGAUAAAGACCGAAACCUUCUAAGUUUCUAAUGUAGGUUCAAUUCCUUCUGAGCCUGG